rnacentral:tRNA from 1 species
UGGGGUGUAGCUCGGUGGUAGAGGAUUUGCUUGGCAGGCACAAGGCCCUGGCUUCAAACUCCAGCACCACAA